UAAAUACUCCCGAGAGACCGAUAGCGAACCAGUACCGUGAGGGAAAGGUGAAAAGCACUUCGAACAGAAGAGUGAAAUAGUCCCUGAACCCAUACGCCUACAAGCAGUCGGAGCCGCUUCGUGCGGUGACGGCGUGCCUUUUGCAUAAUGAGCCUACGAGUUACUCAUCACCAGCGAGGUUAAGUACUUCAGGUACGUAAGCCGAAGCGAAAGCGAGUCUGAAUAGGGCGUCAAGUUGGUGGUGGUAGACGCGAAACCUUAGUGAUCUACCCAUGGGCAGGGUGAAGGUUUGGUAACACAAACUGGAGGCCCGAACCGGUAAACGUUGAAAAGUUUUCGGAUGACCUGUGGGUAGGGGUGAAAGGCCAAUCAAACUGGGAAAUAGCUCGUACUCUCCGAAAUGCAUUUAGGUGCAGCCUCUGUUGUUUUGUUCUAGAGGUAGAGCUACUGAUUGGAUGCGAGGGCUUCACCGCCUAUCAAAUCCGGCCAAACUCCGAAUGCUAGAACAUGAAGACAGGGAGUGAGCCAGCGGGUGCUAAGGUCCGUUGACGAAAGAGGGAGAACUCAGACCAUCAGCUAAGGUCCCCAAUUAUAUGCUAAGUUGGAAUAAAAACGGGGUGGGACUGCUUAGACAGCUAGGAUGUUGGCUUGGAAGCAGCCAUUCAUUUAAAGAGUGCGUAACAGCUCACUAGUCGAGCGGUCCUGCAUGGAUAAUACGCGGGCAUAAGCAUAUAACCGAAGCUAUGGGAUUGUAGAUGAUACAAUCGGUAGGAGAGCAUUCCAUUCAGCAUAGAAGCAGUACCGUGAGGUAUUGUGGAGCGGAUGGAAAAGCAAAUGUAGGCAUAAGUAACGAUAAUGCGGGUGAGAACCCCGCACGCCGAAAGAUCAAGGAUUCCCCGGCAAUGUCAAUCAUCCGGGGGUAAGUCGGAUCCUAAGGGUAAGCCGAGUGGCGAUCCCGAUGGCAAACAGGUUAAUAUUCCUGUACUGAUCAUAACUGCGAUGCAGCGACGCAGAGGUGACACUGCUGCGUACUGACGGAAUAGUACGUUGAAACCCGUAUUCUUUGAUACCGGUAGUGAAGCACGCCGGUAGAGAUGAAAGGUGAUAGUACCGCAAUGCUUCGGUUGCGCGGAUAAUGCAGGUAAGCUGACUGCCAAGAAAACCUGCUAAGCUUCAGGUAAUGAUCAUCCGUACUGUAAACGGACACACGUGAUCAGGUAGAAAAUACUAAGGCGCUCGAGAGAUUCAUGGUUAAGGAACUAGGCAAAAUGGUCCUGUAACUUCGGGAUAAAGGACGCUCUUGUGAAAGAGCCGCAGAUAAUAGGCCCAGGCGACUGUUUACCAAAAACACAUGGCUAUGCUAAUUCGCAAGAAGAUGUAUAUGGCCUGACACCUGCCCGGUGCCGGAAGGUUAAGAGGAGAGCUCAGAGGUAACUCGAAGGUUUGAAUUGAAGCCCCGGUAAACGGCGGCCGUAACUAUAACGGUCCUAAGGUAGCGAAAUUCCUUGUCGGGUAAGUUCCGACCUGCACGAAUGGUGUAACGAUCUGGGUACUGUCUCAACCAUGAGCUCGGUGAAAUUGUAGUUCCGGUGAAGAUGCCGGAUACCCGCAACGGGACGGAAAGACCCCGUGAACCUUUACUGCAGCUUUGCAUUGAUUUUGGGUAACAGAUGUGUAGGAUAGGUCGGAGGCUUUGAUGCUGCGUCGUCAGGCGUAGAGUAGCCGUCGUUGAAAUACGACCCUUUUGUUAUCUGAGGUCUAAUCCCGUUAGGGAGACAUUGCAUGGUGGGUAGUUUGACUGGGGUGGUCGCCUCCAAAAGUGUAACGGAGGCUUCUCAAGGUACCCUCAAGGCGUUUGGUAAUCGUCUGCAGAGUGCAAUGGCAUAAGGGUGCUUGACUGUGAGACCGACACGUCGAUCAGGUUGGAAACAAGAGCAUAGUGAUCCGGUGGUUCCGCAUGGAAGGGCCAUCGCUCAAAGGAUAAA
rnacentral:rRNA from 1 species